UGGGGAAUUGUUCGCAAUGGGCGCAAGCCUGACGACGCAACGCCGCGUGGAGGAUGAAGACCUUCGGGUCGUAAACUCCUUUCGAUCGAGACGAAUGGCUUCCGGGUGAACAAUCCGGGAGAAUGACGGUACCGAGAGAAGAAGCCCCGGCUAACUCCGUGCCAGCAGCCGCGGUAAUACGGGGGGGGCAAGCGUUGUUCGGAAUUACUGGGCGUAAAGGGCUCGUAGGCGGCCAACUAAGUCAGACGUGAAAUCCCUCGGCUUAACCGGGGAACUGCGUCUGAUACUGGAUGGCUUGAGAUUGGGAGAGGGAUGCGGAAUUCCAGGUGUAGCGGUGAAAUGCGUAGAUAUCUGGAGGAACACCGGUGGCGAAGGCGGCAUCCUGGACCAACACUGACGCUGAGGAGCGAAAGCCAGGGGAGCAAACGGGAUUAGAUACCCCUGUAGUCC
rnacentral:rRNA from 1 species